AAGGGAUUUGUAUUCGACCUGGCUCCACGCGGGAGGGAACAGUUUCUGGUCCCUUAAAGUGUGGUGGGUUACGAUCGCCCCCCACACAUUACCUUCCCUUGAGUGCCGUCCAGAUAAACUCAAAGAAUGACGGGACCGCCCAGGGAGGACAUGUGUUAUCGAUGAUACGGGGGACUACCGGGCUGACUGCAGCGACGAUCAGAGAUGAUGAGCCUCGGGCGCUGUGAGGUGCUGCAUGGUGUCGUCAGCUCGUGCCGUGAGGUGUCGGCUUAAGUGCCAUAACGAGCGCAACCCCUUUCGCCAGUUGCCAUCAGGUGAUGCUGGGCACUCCGGCGACACUGCCACCGUAAGGUGCGAGGAAGGUGGGGAGGACGUCAAAUCAGCACGGCCCUUACAGUCCAGAGGCUACACACGUGUUACACUGGGUGGUAAAAAGAGUCGGUCGUGUGCAAACGCGAUCCAAUCCUAAAAGCCAUCCUCAGUUCGGAUUGGGGUCUGCAACCCGACCCCAUGAAGCUGGAUUCGCUAGUAAUCGCGCAUCAGCCAUGGCGCGGUGAAUACGUUCCCGGGCCUUGUACACACCGCCCGUCAAGCCAUGAAAGCCGGGGGCGCCUGAAGUCCGUGACCGCGAGGGUCGGCCUAGGGUGAAACCGGUGAUUGGGGCUAAGUCGUAACAAG
rnacentral:rRNA from 1 species